rnacentral:rRNA from 1 species
GAUGAACGCUGGCGGCGUGCCUAAUACAUGCAAGUCGAGCGAACAGACGAGGAGCUUGCUCCUCUGACGUUAGCGGCGGACGGGUGAGUAACACGUGGAUAACCUACCUAUAAGACUGGGAUAACUUCGGGAAACCGGAGCUAAUACCGGAUAAUAUAUUGAACCGCAUGGUUCAAUAGUGAAAGUCGGUUUUGCUGUCACUUAUAGAUGGAUCCGCGCCGCAUUAGCUAGUUGGUAAGGUAACGGCUUACCAAGGCAACGAUGCGUAGCCGACCUGAGAGGGUGAUCGGCCACACGGGAACUGAGACACGGUCCAGACUCCUACGGGAGGCAGCAGUAGGGAAUCUUCCGCGAUGGGCGAAAGCCUGACGGAGCAACGCCGCGUAAGUCAUGAAGGUCUUCGGAUCGUAGAACUCUGUUAGUAGGAAGGAACAAAUGUGUAAGUAACUAUGCACGUCUUGACGGUACCUGAUCAGAAAGCCACGGCUAACUACGUG